rnacentral:lncRNA from 1 species
UAAGAAAUAGACUGUACUCUCUUCAAAUCGAAAUAACGGCACCUUAAUUCUUGGAUUUUCCACAUUUUCAUUGGUAAAGCUCCCAUUCGCUUUCUUUGAAUCUGUAUCAGUUCAUGCAGUUCUGCCAAGGGGGGAAGCUUUACGGGACACUGCUACUUUAGCUCUUGAAAUAUUAAGAUGAACAGGACAAGCAAAAAGGGCGCUUCCUUCCUCCUGGCUGGUUUCCUGGUCAUUUGUGAAAUAUGGGAAGUCAGUAUCCCAACUGUGAUUCCAGCUUCCGCCCAACGUUCAACUUCCUGUGCGGCCGCAGUUAUCACCGGAAAUGCCAAUCACAGCUUUUUCUUGUAUCGGAAGCUCUGCCACACCACCCCCUCUCUGUAUCCCUUCAGCAUAACGGUGGGAAAACUGGAAAGAUUGAAUAUCCUUUGGAGUUCACAGAGGUUUGGCAGUGGAAGAAGAAAAACAAAACAGAGCCUGGUGGGAGUGUUGAGCAGACUUUCCCAAGAUCCCAGUUGUGGAAAUUUAAGGACUGGCAACUUAUAAACAACAUUAUGUAAUCACUGAAAACAGCCAGCAACAAUGAAAAUAAAAAAGAAGUGGCCACGAAAUGUUGAAUUUGA